rnacentral:rRNA from 1 species
UACGUAGGCGGAAAAUUAAGUCAGUGGUGAAAUCCUGCAGCUUAACUGUAGAACUGUCAUUGAUACUGAUUUUCUUGAAUAUAGUUGAGGUAGGCGGAAUGUGUAAUGUAGCGGUGAAAUGCUUAGAUAUUACACAGAACACCGAUUGCGAAGGCAGCUUACUAAGCUAUUAUUGAUGCUGAGGCACGAAAGCGUGGGGAGCGAACAGGAUUAGAUACCCUGGUAGUCC